rnacentral:rRNA from 1 species
UAUCCUACGAGGCGCAGCAGCCGCGGUAAUACGGAGGAUGCGAGCGUUAUCCGGAUUUAUUGGGUUUAAAGGGUGCGUAGGCGGAAUGCCAAGUCAGCGGUAAAAUCGCGGGGCUCAACCUCGCUCCGCCGUUGAAACUGGCGUUCUUGAGUGGGCGAGAAGUAUGCGGAAUGCGUGGUGUAGCGGUGAAAUGCAUAGAUAUCACGCAGAACUCCGAUUGCGAAGGCAGCAUACCGGCGCCCAACUGACGCUGAAGCACGAAAGCGUGGGUAUCGACCAGGAUUAGAAACCCAUGUAGUCCGAGA